UCUCUGGUGGUCCAGUGGCUAAGACUCUGUGCUCCCAAUGCAGGGACCUUGGGUUCAAAUCCUGGCCAGGGAA
rnacentral:tRNA from 1 species